rnacentral:rRNA from 1 species
UACAGAGGUCUCGAGCGUUGUUCGGAUUCAUUGGGCGUAAAGGGUGUGUAGGUUGCGCGCUAAGUCGGGUGUGAAAUUUCGGAGCUUAACUCCGAAACUGCAUUCGAUACUGGCGUGCUUGAGGACUGGAGAGGAGACUGGAAUUUACGGUGUAGCAGUGAAAUGCGUAGAUAUCGUAAGGAAGACCAGUGGCGAAGGCGGGUCUCUGGACAGUUCCUGACACUGAGACACGAAGGCCAGGGGAGCAAACGGG